GGUCCUAAACUUACCGCUGUUUUUGACUAAGAUUACACAUGCAAGUAUCCACAUGCCGGUGAAAACGAGCCCAAAAAUUAAAAAGGAGCAGGUAUCAGGCACGAAAUUCAGCCCAAGACACCUUGCCAUGCCACACCCCCACGGGAACUCAGCAGUGAUAAACAUUGGGCCAUAAGCAACAACCACCCCAAACUUGACCCAGCUAUAGUCAUUUAGGGCCGGCUAAUCUCGUGCCAGCCGCCGCGGUUAUACGAGAGGCCCGAAUCAGCAUACAACGGCGUAAAUUGUGACUAGAUUAAAGCUAUAAACAAAGGGGAGAAGCCCACCCAAUUAGUAAAAUAAAAGAUAAAAGAACCCCCUUUACUAAAAGCACUUUGAACUCACGAAAGCUAAGAAACAAACUAGGAUUAGAUACCCUACUAUGCUUAGCCAUUAAUAAGCCAUACACCAACAACCAUGGUCGCCAGAGAAUUACAAGCGAAAAGCUUAAAACUCAAAAGACUUGGCGGUGCCCCAAAUUCAACUUAGAGGAGCCUGUCCUAUAAUCGAUACCCCACGAUAAACCAAACCCCUCUUUGCCAAACCAGCCUAUAUACCGCCGUCGCAAACCUACCUCACAAGAGAAAAGCCGUAGGUAAAAUAGUACCCCACUAAAACGUCAGGUCAAGGUGUAGCUAAUAGAGGGGAAGAGAUGGGCUACAUUCUUUAAUAGUGUAAAGCAUACAGAAAGAGCCCUGAAAUCUCUCUAGAAGGUGAAUUUAAUAGUAAAUCUGGUAAGAAAGCCAGCUUUAAUACUGCUCUGAGGCGCGCACACACCGCCCGUCACCCUCAU
rnacentral:ncRNA from 1 species